GACUUCUAGUUUAAUGCACCUGGCCCGCGGCCCACAAGGCCUGUGAGUGCCGGCGCGCGUUUUCCAUCCAGCUACCCUUAACUGGGCGGCUGGAACUGGAUCUUUUUCUCCCCAAUUGGAGUGUUUAAAGCAGGCGUUUGCUCUGAAUACAUUAGCAUGGAAUAUAAUCCAGACUUCGGUUCUAUUUUGUUGGUUAAACUGAAGUAAUGAUUGCUAGGGAUAGUUGGGGGUCAGGAUUGGCCGGUCAGAGGUGAAAUUGUCAAGACUUCCUUAUGCGAAAGCAUU
rnacentral:rRNA from 1 species